CCUACGGGUGGCAGCAGUGGGGAAUAUUGGACAAUGGGGGCAACCCUGAUCCAGCCAUGCCGCGUGUGUGAAGAAGGCCCUCGGGUUGUAAAGCACUUUCAGUGAGGAAGAACGCCUGGUGGUUAAUACCCAUCAGGAAAGACAUCACUCACAGAAGAAGCACCGGCCAACUCCGUGCCAGCAGCCGCGGUAAUACGGAGGGUGCGAGCGUUAAUCGGAAUUACUGGGCGUAAAGCGCGCGUAGGUGGCUUGAUAAGCCGGUUGUGAAAGCCCCGGGCUCAACCUGGGAACGGCAUCCGGAACUGUCAAGCUAGAGUGCAGGAGAGGAAGGUAGAAUUCCCGGUGUAGCGGUGAAAUGCGUAGAGAUCGGGAGGAAUACCAGUGGCGAAGGCGGCCUUCUGGACUGACACUGACACUGAGGUGCGAAAGCGUGGGUAGCAAACAGGAUUAGAUACCCGGGUAGUC
rnacentral:rRNA from 1 species